GAUGAAGAACGUAGCGAAAUGCGAUACGUAAUGUGAAUUGCAGAAUUCAGUGAAUCAUCGAAUCUUUGAACGCACAUUGCGCCCCCUGGUAUUCCGGGGGGCAUGCCUGUCCGAGCGUCAUUACAACCCUCAAGCUCAGCUUGGUGUUGGGCCCCGCCGCCCCGGCGGGCCCUAAAGUCAGUGGCGGUGCCGUCCGGCUCCGAGCGUAGUAAUUCUUCUCGCUCUGGAGGUCCGGUCGUGUGCUCGCCAGCAACCCCCAAUUUUUUUCAGGUUGACCUCGGAUCAGGUAGGGAUACCCGCUGAACUUAAGCAUAUCAAAAGCGGAGGA
rnacentral:misc_RNA from 1 species